rnacentral:rRNA from 1 species
AGACGCUGGCGGCGUGCCUACUACAUGCAGUCGAGCGAAUGGAUUAAGAGCUUGCUCUUAUGAAGUUAGCGGCGGACGGGUGAGUAACACGUGGGUAACCUGCCCAUAAGACUGGGAUAACUCCGGGAAACCGGGGCUAAUACCGGAUAACAUUUUGAACCGCAUGGUUCGAAAUUGAAAGGCGGCUUCGGCUGUCACUUAUGGAUGGACCCGCGUCGCAUUAGCUAGUUGGUGAGGUAACGGCUCACCAAGGCAACGAUGCGUAGCCGACCUGAGAGGGUGAUCGGCCACACUGGGACUGAGACACGGCCCAGACUCCUACGGGAGGCAGCAGUAGGGAAUCUUCCGCAAUGGACGAAAGUCUGACGGAGCAACGCCGCGUGAGUGAUGAAGGCUUUCGGGUCGUAAAACUCUGUUGUUAGGGAAGAACACGUGCUAGUUGAAUAAGCUGGCACCUUGACGGUACCUAACCAGAAAGCCACGGCUACUACGUGCCAGCAGCCGCGGUAAUACGUAGGGGCAGCGUUAUCCGGAUUUUGGGCGUAAGCGCGCGCAGGGGUUCUUAGUCUGAUGUGAAAGCCCCGGCUCACCUGGAGGUCUUGAACUGGGAGACUUGAGUGCAAAAGGAAUGGAUCAUGUGUGGGGGGGAAUGCUUAGAAUUGGAGAAACCCAUGGCGAGGCCCUUUUUGUUUGUAACUAACUGGGGCGAACUUGGGAAAACAGAUUAUUCCUGGUAUCACGGACCAGAGGUUAGGUAGGUCCCUUAUGUGAUUACAUUAACUCCGGAACGCCCCGUAAACAAAGAGUCGGGCCCACCGUGGAGGUGUUUUAAAAGACCGGAACCUCCCGUUACCUCCACCAAAAGU